GACGAACGCUGGCGGCGUGCUUAACACAUGCAAGUCGAACGGAAAGGCCCUGCUUUUGUGGGGUGCUCGAGUGGCGAACGGGUGAGUAACACGUGAGUAACCUGCCCUUGACUUUGGGAUAACUUCAGGAAACUGGGGCUAAUACCGGAUAGGAGCUCCUGCUGCAUGGUGGGGGUUGGAAAGUUUCGGCGGUUGGGGAUGGACUCGCGGCUUAUCAGCUUGUUGGUGGGGUAGUGGCUUACCAAGGCUUUGACGGGUAGCCGGCCUGAGAGGGUGACCGGCCACAUUGGGACUGCGAUACGGCCCAGACUCCUACGGGAGGCAGCAGUGGGGAAUAUUGCACAAUGGGCGGAAGCCUGAGGCAGCAACGCCGCGUGCGGGAUGACGGCCUGCGGGUUGUAAACCGCUUUCGCCUGUGACGAAGCGUGAGUGACGGUAAUGGGUAAAGAAGCACCGGCUAACUACGUG
rnacentral:rRNA from 1 species